GACGAACGCUGGCGGCGUGCUUAACACAUGCAAGUCGAACGGAAAGGCCCUGCUUUUGUGGGGUGCUCGAGUGGCGAACGGGUGAGUAACACGUGAGUAACCUGCCCUUGACUUUGGGAUAACUUCAGGAAACUGGGGCUAAUACCGGAUAGGAGCUCCUGCUGCAUGGUGGGGGUUGGAAAGUUUCGGCGGUUGGGGAUGGACUCGCGGCUUAUCAGCUUGUUGGUGGGGUAGUGGCUUACCAAGGCUUUGACGGGUAGCCGGCCUGAGAGGGUGACCGGCGACAUUGGGAUUGAGGUACGGCCAAGACGCGUACAGGAGGCAGCAGUGGGAAAUAUUGCACAAUGGGCAGAAGCCAGAUAGAGCGACGCCGCGUGCGGGAUGACGGCCUUCGGGUUGUAAACCGCUUUCGCCUGUGACGAAGCGUGAGUGACGGUAAUGGGUAAAGAAGCACCGGCUAACUACGUG
rnacentral:rRNA from 1 species